GACGAACGCUGGCGGCGUGCUUAACACAUGCAAGUCGAACGGAAAGGCCCGGCUUUUGUGGGGUGCUCGAGUGGCGAACGGGGGAGUAACACGUGAGUAACCUGUCCUUGACUUUGGGAUAACUUCAGGGAACUGGGGCUAAUACCGGAUAUAAGCUCCUGCUGCGUGGUGGGGGUUGGAAAGUUUCGGCGGUUGGGGAUGGACUCGCGGCUUAUCAGCUUGUUGGUGGGGUAGUGGCUUACCAAGGCUUUGACGGGUAGCCGGCCUGAGAGGGUGAACGGCCACAUUGGGACUGAGAUACGGCGCAGACUCCUACGUGAGGCAGCAGUGGGGAAUAUUGCGCAAUGGGGGGAAGCCAGAUGCAGCAACGCCGCGUGCGUGAUGACGGCCUUCGGGUUGUAAACCGCUUUGGCCUGUGACGAAGCGUGAGUGACGGUAAUGGGUAAAGAAGCACCGGCUAACUACGUG
rnacentral:rRNA from 1 species